rnacentral:tRNA from 1 species
GGAGAGGUGGCCGAGUUGGUCUAAGGCGCCCGCUUGCUAAGCGGUCGUCCGCUUAAAAGGCGGACCGUGGGUUCGAAUCCCACCCUCUCCG